rnacentral:misc_RNA from 1 species
UAGCAAAUAAUACCUAGCAUAACCCUUGUACAAUGGAUACAUAACCUAUAUAUUCAUCCAAUAUGUUUGGAUCAAUAAUAAUAGAUGAUAUGAUAUGCAACCCUACAUACAUUUAUGUAGGGUGAAGGGCGUAGUGGGCAUAAUAAUCAAUAAUUGCCCAUGAUGAUCGCCAUACA